rnacentral:rRNA from 1 species
ACAAGCGGUGGAGUAUGUGGUUUAAUUCGACGCAACGCGAAGAACCUUACCAAGGCUUGACAUCCCCUGACGACCUAUGAAAGUAGGAGUUCUGCCUUCGGGUAGACAGGGAGACAGGUGGUGCAUGGUUGUCGUCAGCUCGUGUCGUGAGAUGUUGGGUUAAGUCCCGCAACGAGCGCAACCCCUAUUGUUAGUUGCCAUCAUUCAGUUGGGCACUCUAGCGAGACUGCCGGUAAUAAACCGGAGGAAGGUGGGAUGACGUCAAAUCAUCAUGCCCCUUAUGACCUGGGCUACACACGUGCUACAAUGGUUGGUACAACGAGUUGCGAGUCGGUGACGGCGAGCUAAUCUCUUAAAGCCAAUCUCAGUUCGGAUUGUAGGCUGCAGCUCGCCUACAUGAAGUCGGAAUCGCUAGUAAUCGCGGAUCAGCACGCCGCGGUGAAUACGUUCCCGGGCCUU